rnacentral:pre_miRNA from 1 species
UCUUCAUUUCCCGAACUCUCACCGGUCAGAGAGGCGAGAGAGUGCGGGAAAUGGAGAGA